ACAGCCCUGCGGGGUUCGUGACGCGUCUUUUUUUAACCCACAUUUUGUUAUACGGGAUGCUGGUUCAGUAUCUGGUUUGCAGGCCUCCCGGCUGCCACCUGCGGUUGGAAGUUGGAAGCAGUAAAGGAUGCUGCAGGCGACCCACCUGCCUAGUAUGUGCAGGUUAUAACAGGGCGCGCACGGCCAUUGCGGGACUGGU
rnacentral:other from 1 species